ACUUCAUUCAUGUAUAAACUAAAUAUGACAAAUUGUGUUGUGCUAUACAAUGUGUUUUUGUUCAAUUUCAGCAGGUCAGCAAUGGUAAGUACAUUUAGUUUCUUGAUGUAUAAUUCUGUAUGCAUAUUGUGUUUUUCAUCAUAUCAUGUCUUUUAUAUUUAGGCUUUGUGUUAGUAAAAACAGAUGUUAAAAAAUCAUUCUUAAACUUGAUACUAAAAAUGUAUUGUGCUAUGCAAAAUGUCUGUAUGAUUUCAGUUUCCAGAGGUGAGUAUCAAAACAGUUGAAAAGUUAGUUCAGUUAACGUUUUGGUUCACAGUUCCGUUUGUUAUUUGGCAAAAUUUACAUGUAUGCAUUGAGUCUUGAUUUCAGCUCGAGUGUAGACUGAAGAAGAUUGCCAGCAGAAGGAUAGGAUACAAAAUACAAAGUAAGUUCUGAGUUUCUUACUAAAAGUUUUGAGUUGUAUUUAUUGUGUGUAAAUAUGCUAUGAUUGCUAUGAACAUGACUUUUGUAUUUCAGUGAUGACAACAUAUGUAAGUAGAAUCGUUCACUGUUUCCAGUUUUUACUGUUAUAGUUCAACCUUGUGUUUAUAAAUUGUAUAAAGUUGUACAAACACAUUCAAAAGUUUCUUAUCAUGCUUUCGAUUUUAUUUCAGUUUUACUACAAGAUGAGUCAGCUAUACUACAAGACGAGUCAGCCUUUUACUAGACGGGCAGUGACAACAAUAUAAAGAAGGCGCCUUUGUGAAAACAACAAAACAAACAACUCCACUAAUAGUCGAGUAGUGAGAGUAAGGCGCCUGAACAUACAACACAACACAAAAAAUGCCAAUUUGCAAGUCUUGAUGUGGGCACCGAGUAUUCAAUACAUUCGUGUGACGUACAGCUGCGACAGUGGGUCCGUCGGAUUGAUAACCUGAACAGUGUCCCGUGUAUGAAAAGCUGUGCAAUCCAUGUAACUUUGUGAAUCCAUGUAACUUUGCGAAGGUGUGUCGAUCGAAAAAUGUGAAUAUUGUGAACUGAAACGAACUCGGUGUUGCAAGUGGCAAGCGUUGACAGUGUUACAUGUUUAACCAUUGUGUUUGUUGUUACAUGAAAAUAAAGGAGAUUAUUCUCCUGCCUUUUUUUUCCUUGUUUUAUUGUGCUGGCCAGCAAUAUUGAUGUAUGUGUUUGUAUAUUAACCAUG